rnacentral:rRNA from 1 species
AUUGAACGCUGGCGGCAGGCUUAACACAUGCAAGUCGAGCGGGGUGAUGGUGCUUGCACUAUCACUUAGCGGCGGACGGGUGAGUAAUGCAUAGGAAUCUGCCUAUUAGUGGGGGACAACAUCUCGAAAGGGAUGCUAAUACCGCAUACGUCCUACGGGAGAAAGCAGGGGAUCACUUGUGACCUUGCGCUAAUAGAUGAGCCUAAGUCGGAUUAGCUGGUUGGUGGGGUAAAGGCCUACCAAGGCGACGAUCUGUAGCGGGUCUGAGAGGAUGACCAGCCACACUGGGACUGGGACACGGCCCAGACUCCUACGGGAGGCAGCAGUGUGGAAUAUUGGACAAUGGGGGGAACCCUGAUCCAGCCAUGCCGCGUGUGUGAAGAAGGCCUUAUGGUUGUAAAGCACUUUAAGCGAGGAGGAGGCUACUGAGACUAAUACUCUUGGAUAGUGGACGUUACUCGCAGAAUAAGCACCGGCUAACUCUGUGCCAGCCGCCGCAGUAA